AGAGAUUUGAGAAUACUGGGGAGGGUACUUAAGGAGAAGAGGGAGAAGAAGAGUUUUACUCACCAAGAGGUUCUGUUGGUAGUAAGGAGAGCCCAAUUCUUACAGGUUCGAGCUCAAGAAGAGUGUUUUAAGCUGU